GACACUUUGGCCGAGUGGUUAAGGCGAUGCCCUGCUAUGCUCGGCUACGAGAAUGUUAAGUUUCAGGCAUUGGGGUUUCCCCGCGUGUGUUCGAAUCGCACAGGUGUCG